GCCAGAGUGGUUUAGUGGUUUGAGUGUCGGACUAUAACUCUGGAGACCGGGAUUCGAAUCCCGGCUCUGCUA